UCUAAUCGUCGUGCUGCUUGCACAAAGCGGGUCCGACGGUGAUCUUGUUUUGGGUGGUCUAACAUGCGGCGCCUCCUGGGCGAGUCGGCGUGGGCCAAACAGUCUUUGUUGUUGUGGUAGACGAGCUACCUGACCCGUCUUGAAACAUGGACAAAGGAGUUUAUCAUGCACGCGAUUCAAUGGGUCACACGAAACCCAAAGGCGCAGUAAAAGUGACGUCUCGACUUGUUUUUGGGAUUUGAUGAGAUGCCACUCUUUCUCACACCUAUCCUUGCGCUUACAGCAACAGACAGAACAGCAGUGGUCGCAUCACCGGCCCGUCCCGUAAUGUGGUCGAUGGAAAGGCAUGGAUCGUUCUGCGGUCUGCGUUGCAGCCGGCGCGUCAUCGGGGCGGAGCAGGAGCUUGCACGAUAAAACCCGAAAGAUGGUGAAUUUUGCUUGCGUAAAUUGAAGACAGGGGACACUCUGGUGGAAGAUUGCAGCGAUUCUGACGUGCAAAUCGAUCACAAAUGUGAGUAAAGGGGCGAAAGACUAAUCGAACCAUCUUGUAGCUGGUUCCCUCCGAAGUUUUACUCAGGAUAGCUGGUACUCAUUCGCAAGAUCAAUUUUAUCCGGUACAGCGAAUUAUUAGAGGUACUGGGUUCGAAACGAGCGUGAGAUGCGCGAGAUGCCCGGCUCGCUUUGUAGGAGUCGGGCGCUGAAUGUGCGAGUGCCAAGUGGGCUAUUUUUUGUUAGCAAAACUGGCGCGGUGGGAUUAAACAAACGCCCGGUUUUGGUUUCUCACGCUGAAUCUCAUGAGAUACGACAAAUGCUGUUAGUUAAUAAGGACAGCAGGACGGUGGCCAUUGAAGUUGGCAUCUGCUAAGAAGAUUGAUACAACUCACUUUCCGAAUUGACCAGCCCUGAAAAUGGAUGGCGCUGGAGCGUCGGACAUAUAACGGGUCGUCACCGCAAGCUUGAUCACUGGCUAUGUGUGGUGGUGCGAGCAGCACAUGGCCGGUUGCGUAAACGACAAUCGGUCGCUUUCUUGCGAAGUAUUGCUCGAGGCAAGGAGGCGGUGGCGAGUAGGAGGGUCGCCGUUGUGAGCAUGGAAGCCUCGGACGUGAGUCUGGGUGGAGCCGCCACGGGUGCAGAUCUUGGUGGUAGUAGCAAAUAUUCAAGUGAGAACCUUGAAGGCCGAGGUGGAGAAGGGUUCCAUGGGAACAGCAGUUGGCCAUGGGUCAGGCGGUCCUAAGCGAUCCGGUGUCUCGGUACAGAGACGUGGGGUGCCU
rnacentral:ncRNA from 1 species